GUAGGUGGCAAGCGUUGUCCGGAAUUAUUGGGCGUAAAGCGCGCGCAGGCGGUUCUUUAAGUCUGAUGUGAAAGCCCACGGCUCAACCGUGGAGGGUCAUUGGAAACUGGAGAACUUGAGUACAGAAGAGGAAAGCGGAAUUCCACGUGUAGCGGUGAAAUGCGUAGAGAUGUGGAGGAACACCAGUGGCGAAGGCGGCUUUCUGGCCUGUAACUGACGCUGAGGCGCGAAAGCGUGGGGGAGCAAACAGGAUUAGAUACCCUGGUAGUCCACGCCGUAAACGAUGAGUGCUAAGUGUUAGGGGGUUUCCGCCCCUUAGUGCUGCAGCUAACGCAUUAAGCACUCCGCCUGGGAGUACGGCCGCAAGGCUG
rnacentral:rRNA from 1 species